rnacentral:rRNA from 1 species
AUUGAACGCUGGCGGCAGGCCUAACACAUGCAAGUCGAGCGGAUGAAGGGAGCUUGCUCCUGGAUUCAGCGGCGGACGGGUGAGUAAUGCCUAGGAAUCUGCCUGGUAGUGGGGGAUAACGUCCGGAAACGGGCGCUAAUACCGCAUACGUCCUGAGGGAGAAAGUGGGGGAUCUUCGGACCUCACGCUGUCAGAUGAGCCUAGGUCGGAUUAGCUAGUUGGUGGGGUAAAGGCCUACCAAGGCGACGAUCCGUAACUGGUCUGAGAGGAUGAUCAGUCACACUGGAACUGAGACACGGUCCAGACUCCUACGGGAGGCAGCAGUGGGGAAUAUUGGACAAUGGGCGAAAGCCUGAUCCAGCCAUGCCGCGUGUGUGAAGAAGGUCUUCGGAUUGUAAAGCACUUUAAGUUGGGAGGAAGGGCAGUAAGUUAAUACCUUGCUGUUUUGACGUUACCAACAGAAUAAGCACCGGCUAACUUCGU